rnacentral:rRNA from 1 species
AGUGAACGCUGGCGGUAGGCCUAACACAUGCAAGUCGAACGGCAGCACAGUAAGAGCCUGCUCUUACGGGUGGCGAGUGGCGGACGGGUGAGGAAUACAUCGGAAUCUACUUUUUCGUGGGGGAUAACGUAGGGAAACUUACGCUAAUACCGCAUACGACCUACGGUUGAAAGCAGGGGAUCUUCGGACCUUGCGCGAUUGAAUGAGCCGAUGUCGGAUUAGCUAGUUGGCGGGGUAAAGGCCCACCAAGGCGACGAUCCGUAGCUGGUCUGAGAGGAUGAUCAGCCACACUGGAACUGAGACACGGUCCAGACUCCUACGGGAGGCAGCAGUGGGGAAUAUUGGACAAUGGGCGCAAGCCUGAUCCAGCCAUACCGCGUGGGUGAAGAAGGCCUUCGGGUUGUAAAGCCCUUUUGUUGGGAAAGAAAAGCAGCAGGUUAAUACCCCGCUGUUCUGACGGUACCCAAAGAAUAAGCACCGGCUAACUUCGUG